rnacentral:rRNA from 1 species
AUUGAACGCUGGCGGCAGGCCUAACACAUGCAAGUCGAGCGGAUGAAGGGAGCUUGCUCCUGGAUUCAGCGGCGGACGGGUGAGUAAUGCCUAGGAAUCUGCCUGGUAGUGGGGGAUAACGUCCGGAAACGGGCGCUAAUACCGCAUACGUCCUGAGGGAGAAAGUGGGGGAUCUUCGGACCUCACGCUAUCAGAUGAGCCUAGGUCGGAUUAGCUAGUUUGUGGGGUAAAGGCCUACCAAGCCGACGAUCCGUAACUGGUCUGAGAGGAUGAUCAGUCACACUGGAACUGAAACACGGUCCAGACUCCUGCGGGAGGCAGCAGUGGGGAAUAUUGGACAAUAGGCGAAAGCCUGAUACAGCCAUGCCGCGUGUGUGGAGAAGGUCUUCGGAUUGUAAAGCACUUUAAGUUGGGAGGAAGGGCAGUAAGUUGAUACCUUGCUGUUUUGACGUUACCAACAGAAUAAGCACCGGCUAACUUCGUG